rnacentral:rRNA from 1 species
UGGGGGAAUAUUGGACAAUGGGCGCAAGCCUGAUCCAGCAAUGCCGCGUGUGUGAAGAAGGCCUUCGGGUUGUAAAGCACUUUUAUCAGGAGCGAAACGCUGUCGGCUAAUACCCGGCGGAACUGACGGUACCUGAGGAAUAAGCACCGGCUAACUUCGUGCCAGCAGCCGCGGUAAUACGAAGGGUGCAAGCGUUAAUCGGAAUUACUGGGCGUAAAGCGUGCGUAGGCGGUUUCUUAAGUCUGCUGUGAAAUCCCCGGGCUCAACCUGGGAAUGGCAGUGGAUACUGGGAGGCUAGAGUGUGUCAGAGGGUGGUGGAAUUCCCGGUGUAGCGGUGAAAUGCGUAGAGAUCGGGAGGAACAUCAGUGGCGAAGGCGGCCACCUGGGACAACACUGACGCUGAGGCACGAAAGCGUGGGGAGCAAACAGGAUUAGAUACCCUGGUAGUCCACGCCCUAAACGAUGCGAACUGGAUGUUGGUCUCAACUCGGAGAUCAGUGUCGAAGCUAACGCGUUAAGUUCGCCGCCUGGGGAGUACGGUCGCAAGACUG